UAAAAUUAAUUAAAAAUAAUAUAUGUUCUAAAAGUAAGUAAAAAAUAUCUUAUAAUAAUGUGUUUUGAUAAAUAUAUAAUUAUCAUUUAUAUAAUUAGAAAUAUUCUUUAUAUAGGAUAGAUGUGUUCUCUAUGUUAUAUAAUUUUAUUUUAUAAUUAUGAGCUUUAGAAUUAUAGCCAAUAGUUAUUAUUAUACAUAUGUUGAAACUCUCAUUUAAAUUUGAUCAAAUAAUUAAAUAGUAAAAAAAAGUAAGUUAAUAUAAAUUGUCAUAACUUGACAACUAUAGUUAAUUAAAUUAACUAAAAAGGAAAAAGGAAAAGAAAGAAGAGGGAGAGGGAAAGAAUGGAUGGUGGAAGAAAUAGUUAAAAAAUAGUUGAGGAAAUGUUUUAUGUAUACUUUUUAAUGGCAAAACUCACUGAGAUCUUAAAUUUUAAAAAUAUAAGGUCUGAUAAACUCUUUAUAAAUAAUUGAUUGAAUCAGGUGAAGACUUGGUCGAUUCAUAUUAAUUCACUUGAUUUACUAUUUGAUUCUUUCAAUUUAAUAAGAAUUCAUAUGCAUUUGCAAUUUACGCUAUAUAUUUGAAUUGCUAGGAUAUAGAAUCAAAUUGAGUACUGUAAGUUUCAAAUCAAGAAUUGUAAGAUUUAGGUACAUUUGAGAUUUUUCCUAUAGAUUUGAAUCCAUUUGUUUUACGAUUUGAAUCGAGAAUCAUAAGGUUCUGACACAAUGAGCAAAAGUCUAUUGUGGCUUUUAAAUUGUGGAUCAAUAAUCAAAUAAGUCCUUAAUAAUCAAACAAGCCCUUAAACUUUUCUGGGGGCCCAAACAAGCUUUUUGGCUAUUAAAAUGAAUUAAAUUAGUCCUUUAAAUUUUAAAGUAGAUCAAUUAAGCCCUUGGGAGAUCAGUAGGCCCUUCAAAUUUUAAAAGUAGAUCAAAUAAGCCCUUCAAAUUUUAAAAGUAGAUCAAAUAAGCCAUUACUUCCAGUUCAUAUCUUUCUGUGUUUAACUUUCUCUCCAUGUGACUAUCUUUUCUUAUGUCAUUUACUCAUCUCCACACCAUUAUUGAUGAUGGCUAAAAGCAAAAACAAAGCAUAAUUCCAAAACCAUAGAACUCAUCUAACUUUAUAAAGCAGAAACAACAAUGAAACAAAAAUCUAAAGAAGAUAUUGUAAGAUAUUGUUGAAAAAGAGGAAGAAUAUGAGGAAUUUGAAGAAGAGUAAGAGGUAGAAGAAGAUGAUUCUGGUGACAAUAACAAAGAAGAAGAUGAUUCUGGUGACAAUAACAAAGAAGAAGAUUGUUUUCUUACAAAACAAUUAGAAUCAGUUCUCAUAUGACCAUUAUUAAGUUGUUGACAGUGACUGUGAUGAAGACAAUGCACUCAUAGAUAGGUUUUUUGAACCCCUUGGCAAAUAGUAACUUAUCAAUAUGCUCUGCGAUACUGCAAUUAUUCAUCAUAAUAUUGCAGAUCAGAUACAUAAGAUGGUUGAUGAGGACCCCUUUGCAUUAGAAGAUUUUCAUGCACAAUCUUGGUUGUAUCUUUAACAGGAAUCAAAUUGUAUGCAGUCCCUUUCGAUAUAUUUCUAUAAAUUGAAGGAUUUAUUUGUUGCAUUUUAAAUUUUGAAGGGCUUAUUUAUCCUCAGGGGUUUAUUUGAUCGACUUUUAAAAUUUAAAAACUAUUUUAUCUAGUUUAAUAGUUAAUGCUUUGUUUGGAUGCUGAAAAGGUUCAAGACUUGUGAGACUAUUAGGGUCAAAAUAGGCCUUUUGCCUUCUUUUUGUUUUACUAUCCAUC
rnacentral:lncRNA from 1 species